CGGAUUUUAAGCAAGGCAGCAAUAUCCUAGCUUCCUGGGAGGAGACCAGCAAAAAACAUGGCAAGCAAAUAGUAACAGCACCAAACUCAGUGCUUAACUGAGGAUGAGGGCUCACCCUUUUGUGGAGCUAGAUACCAGCGCCAUCUUUUUUACAAUUUAGACUUCACUAAGUGCCUCAAUACAGGGACUUCUUUCAAUCUUACCAACCCUGUGAAGCAAGCAAGACAGGACUGUGAGGUAUUUCUGAGUGGUGCUGACCGUGGAUUCAGCAUCGCACAAGAAGAACUACAGUGGAGGGAACGACGGCCCCCAACUCAGGAGUUCACCAGCAAACAGAAGGCACGGAACACAAAGCAGCUAAAUCGCGGGGCAGCAAGUGUCACGGGAGGUAGGGGUUACAACGGGAGUGUGUGAUCAUACCCACGGCCAGGCAGACCCUUCACCCUCCACAGGCACCCACGAGGCUGCCCUGUCCACUGGAGUAACCCAUGUGUGAGGGGAAAUCCCUGGAAAUGGUUAUUUAUGAAGUGCCUUAAGGAGUCUGACAAAGCAGAAAAAGGAGGAGGGUCAAGGGUACAGAUUGAAAAAGAGGCAGAAAAGUGUGGGUGCCUGGGGAGCUGUUAGGAAAGAGACAGUUGGGACCACGGUCUGGGGACUAUGCCAUUGCCAUUUUGCAUGCCAGGCUGAGCAGUAUGAAGUCUGCAUGUAGAACACUUGGUGUCUAGUCUCUAUUCACUAGCUAGGAAACACUGAGCAACUGGGUCCUUAGUUCCUCAUCUCUAAAACUACCAAAUGAGAGUAACAAUACCUAGCCUGUCUACCUCCCAAGACCGUUAUGAUACCCUACAGCAGCGGGGAGCAAUGGAAGCUUCCCAGGCAAGGCAAGGACAGAGCUGGACUUCUGUUUAGUAAAGCAAGUGAAUGUAAGCUGGGCUGCUGGAGAGGAAGAUGACCAGGCAGAAGUGUCUGGGAAUGUUAGUGGCUCAAACCAUGGCACUGGCAAUAUGAAGGAACAGGCAGACACAGAAGACAUGCAGACAAUUCAACAGACAACCCAGUGAUGGGAAGGAGGGUGGGGGAGAGUCAGAGAUGAUCCCAAGGCCCUGAUCUGGAUCGGGAAGUCAGGAGGAAGGAAUGGUAAGGGGGCCAGGAGGGGUCUCUUUGGGACACGCUGUAGAGAGAGACAUGGGGGGUGGGAGGGGGAGCUGGAUCUGCAGGCCUGAUGUUCGUGAGAGGGGUCAGAAUCAGUGUUAUGGGCUAAACUGUGUCCCCCUCAAGUUCAUGUUAGAGACCUAAACCCCAGUACCUCAGAAUGGGACUGUAUUUGGACACAGGGCCUUUAAAGAGGUAAUUAUGGUAAAAUGAGGUCAUACGGGUGGACCCUAAUCCUACGUGACUAUUGCCCUUCUAAGACAAGAGCAGGACACAGACACGCACAGAGGGGAGACCAUGUGAAAACACCAGGAGACGGCCAUCAACAAGCAGACGAGAGAGGCCCUCAGAAGAAACCAAUCGUGUCACACUUUGCUCUUGGACUUCGAGCCUCCAGAAUUGUGAUGAAAUCAAUUUCGGUUGUUUAAGCCGCCAAGUCUGUGGGACCUUGCGGUGGCAGUGCCAGCAGAGUAACAGAGUUAGUAAUGUACGGGCUGAAGAGCAUCAUGCAGGCGAACACUGAAGCUGGGAAAGCAAACAAGGUCACUCAAGGAGAGAAUGAGGGUUUUACUGUCGACAGAGAAGCUCUCAGAGUGCUCUGCUGAGGCCCAGGUGGUGAGAAGGAGCAGAGAGAACACUGGAGGGAAGGGACCGGCCAGUGCACUGUUGGGGAGGGAGCCAGGGGAGACAGGAAUGGCCGCCUGAGAGAGGAAGCAGCAGCGCUGGGGGUUUUCUUCCCGGAGACUGAAGCAAACAGGUGAUGGGCCAAGGCUAGGAGAGAGAGGAAGGAGUGCGAUGGAAAACACAGGUAGUGAAGCUGGUGUUAAGUAAAGACAGGGAGGGUGAAAAUGGGUGGAGAGAGACAUUCAAGUUUACAAGAGACAAGGCAGCUGCAGGAACGAAUGCUAGCCGGCCUCCAGCUUUGAACAGGAUGAGCCAGCACGGCCCUCCUCAGAGCGCUCUGCACCAGCAGCACUGGCAUCACCCAGGGCCUGUUAGGAAUGUAGACUCUCCGAAUCGGAAUCUACAGCUUCAUCAGACCCCCAGGUGAUUCUGUAAGCUGGGUGGUGACAGGGGUACGGCAAGGGUGUGUGAGGGCAGAGGGCAGAGGGCUGGUUGCAGGCCUUCUCCCAAACAUGCCUUCACUCCCGCCCUCUCUCUCCCUGCGCUCCCUCACCAACAGCCCAAGACCUCCUUCCAGCUCUCUACGCCUUCCUGCCACUGAGAUUUAAAUGCCUGAAAGCCUC